UAGUAACUGCGAGUGAAGAGGGAAGAGCCCAGCCCUGAAUCCCUCGGCUUUGCGCCGUUGGGAAUUGUGGGGUAUAGAACGGCCAUUGGGUUGCGAGUCCUGUCUGAAGUUCACUUGAUUGUGACUUUAGGUCCAUGGAGGGUGUAAGCCCCGUACGGAUUGGAUUCGCUUCCCCUAGGCUGCUCUUGGAGUCGGGUAGUUUGAGAUUGCUGCCCAAAGUGGGAGGUAAACUCCUCCUAAGGCUAAAUACUAUGCACUAGACCGAUAGUCAACAAGUACCGUGAGGGAAAGUUGAAAAGAACUUUGAAGAGAGAGUUCAAUAGUACGUGAAACCGUCUAGAGGUAAACGGAUGGGGCCGAAAAAGAUUGCAGGGAUUCAGCCUGGCUGAGCAGCGGUGGUGUGCCGUCCAAAUACUCCUUUGAGUAUUGGUGGUGCGCCGUCCGUGGCCCGGCCGGGUGCACUUUCCUGUAGUCUGCACCAGGACCGCUGUGCAGGCGGACUAUCGUUGAGUGGUGGUAACGAUGCCCUCGGGUGUUGUGAUAUAUGCUCGACAUUGGUCUGCUAGUGCAGUGGAUAGCUGCGACGUAAGCCCUGCGGGCGAUUUGUAUGUUGUUGCUGAUGGUUGCUUUGAAGGCCGACUUCGCAAGAAGACGGCUUGAUGGGCGCUCUUAGCGACGUCUGCUAACUUUACGUCGAUAGUCUCUGGUGUUAAAGUAGGUCACCCAACCGACCCGUCUUGAAACACGGACCGAGGAGCUCAGCAUGUGCGCAAGUCAUUGGGCUUUACGAAACCCAAAGGCGUAGUGAAAGCAAAAGUUCGCUUUUGCGAUCAUUGGCAUGAUCCGGGUACCCACUUUGUUGGGCCUGGCGCAAUGCCGACCCGUCCUAUUGUGUCUUUGCACAGGGGCGGCGUUAGAGCGCAUAUGCUGAAACCCGAAAGAUGGCGAACUAUGCUUGGGCAGGUUGAAGCCAGGGGAAACUCUGGUGGAAGACCGUAGCGAUUCUGACGUGCAAAUCGAUCGUCGGAUCUGAGCAUAGGGGCGAAAGACUAAUCGAGCCAUCUAGUAGCUGGUUCCUUCCGAAGUUUCCCUCAGGAUAGCUGUUGCACGAAUAUAUUUUUUUCCGGUAAAGCGAAUGAUUGGAAGUAAUGGGGACGAAAUGUCCUCAGCUUACUCUCAAACUUUAAAUGGUAAAGAGCCUAUCUCUCUUAAUUGGAGAUGGGCAGGAAUAUGUGCAACUAGUGGGCCAUUUUUGGUAAGCAGAACUGGUGCUGAGGGAUGAACCUAACACUAAGUUAAGGUGCCUAACGCUUCGUUCAUGAGACACCAUGAAAGGUGUUGGUUGAUAUAGACAGCAGGACGGUGGCCAUGGAAGUUGGAAUCCGCUAAGGAGUGUGUAACAACUCACCUGCCGAAUCAACCAGCCCUGAAAAUGGAUGGCGCUAGAACGAAGGACCUAUACUUAGUCCUGAUUGUUAAGGAUUGCUGUUAUACAAUCAGGAGUAGGAAGGUACCUUGGUGAGCGUUGAAGCCUCGCUGUGAAGUGGGGUGGAGCCGCCAAGGCAGCUGAUCUC
rnacentral:rRNA from 1 species